GCUGAAAGGAAGGACUAUGGAGCGUCAGG
rnacentral:piRNA from 1 species